rnacentral:rRNA from 1 species
GACGAACGCUGGCGGCGUGCUUAACACAUGCAAGUCUGGGGGCGGGGCGACCCGUUACCGGCGAACGGGUGCGGAACACGUGAGCGACCUGCCCUGUGUGUGGGGGAUAGCCGGCCCAACGGCCGGGUAAUACCGCAUACGUACCGCGCUUGGAGGCGCUGGGAGAAAGCCCGGAAGGGCGCACGAGGAGGGGGCCGCGGCCUAUCAGCUGGUAGGGGGGGUAACGGCCCACGAAGGCGACGACGGGUAGCUGGUCGGAGAGGCAGACCAGCCACGAUUGGACUGAGAGACGGCCCAGGCUGGCACGGGUAGCAGAUGUGGGGAAACGUGCGAAAGGGGCGAAAAGCUAACGCGGCGGCGCCGCGUAGGGGAUGAGGCCCUAAGAGGUGUAAACUCCUGUUGCUCGGGACGAACGGCGGGCAUCGGCCCGCUUGACGGUACCGGGUGAGGAAGCACCGGCUAACUCUGUG